CCUACGGGGGGCAGCAGUGGGGAAUAUUGGACAAUGGGCGAAAGCCUGAUCCAGCCAUGCCGCGUGUGUGAAGAAGGCCUUCGGGUUGUAAAGCACUUUCAGUGGGGAAGAAAGCCUUGGGGCUAAUACCCUCGAGGAAGGACAUCACCCACAGAAGAAGCACCGGCUAACUCCGUGCCAGCAGCCGCGGUAAUACGGAGGGUGCGAGCGUUAAUCGGAAUUACUGGGCGUAAAGCGCGCGUAGGCGGUCUGAUAAGCCGGUUGUGAAAGCCCCGGGCUCAACCUGGGAACGGCAUCCGGAACUGGCAGGCUAGAGUGCAGGAGAGGAAGGUAGAAUUCCCUGUGUAGCGGUGAAAUGCGUAGAGAUCGGGAGGAAUACCAGUGGCGAAGGCGGCCUUCUGGACUGACACUGACGCUGAGGUGCGAAAGCGUGGGUAGCAAACAGGAUUAGAUACCCUAGUAGUC
rnacentral:rRNA from 1 species